rnacentral:lncRNA from 1 species
AUCAUAUAUGCAGUCCCUAGCUCUCUGAAAAUCAUUAUGCAGGAAAUGACUGUAUAUUCCAAAAUGAAUUUGGUGACACAGAAUAACAUAUUGAUGGAAAACUCAUAACACACUCUAAAAACUCUACGAAUUUAGUGUCAUUUAUUUCUACUACAUCUUAUUCCACAAAGAACUUUACUUUUGCCACUGCUCCUGCUACUACUGGAAGAAAUCCCAAAAACUCAGAUAAUCAAAACCCAAAGAGGGUUUACUCUGUGCUUCGGACUCAGUGGGGGCUUGUCGGAUGAGCCACUGGGAAAAUAUGCGUCCCCUCACUUCUCCUUAAUCAACUAAGGUCACCUUGACGGAGCGCUUCCCUGUCCCUCUUAAUCGGAAGAUCACAAGAAAGAUGGUAAGCGAAUCCCAGUCGCAAGUCAAUUUAAAUAACAUUCCUGGGGAAAUCCAAUCACUUAAAACGGAGACACCUACGCGAGCGAGAGCCCCCGCCCGUCUGGCGGGCCUAAGCGCGAAGGCUGAAUUAAUCAAGAUCAAGGGGCUCCCGG